AGUGAACGCUGGCGGUAGGCCUAACACAUGCAAGUCGAACGGCAGCACAGUGAGAGCUUGCUCUUACGGGUGGCGAGUGGCGGACGGGUGAGGAAUACAUCGGAAUCUACUUUUUCGUGGGGGAUAACGUAGGGAAACUUACGCUAAUACCGCAUACGACCUACGGGUGAAAGCAGGGGAUCUUCGGACCUUGCGCGAUUGAAUGAGCCGAUGUCGGAUUAGCUAGUUGGCGGGGUAAAGGCCCACCAAGGCGACGAUCCGUAGCUGGUCUGAGAGGAUGAUCAGCCACACUGGAACUGAGACACGGUCCAGACUCCUACGGGAGGCAGCAGUGGGGAAUAUUGGACAAUGGGCGCAAGCCUGAUCCAGCCAUACCGCGUGGGUGAAGAAGGCCUUCGGGUUGUAAAGCCCUUUUGUUGGGAAAGAAAAGCAGCAGGUUAAUACCCCGCGGUUCUGACGGUACCCAAAGAAUAAGCACCGGCUAACUUCGUG
rnacentral:rRNA from 1 species